UAUACAUCAAGAGAAAGAGGAGAAAUAUUUUACAGUAAACCAGAAGUGUCUUAAAUUAAGCUAUCCCCAGGCCACCCACCCUCACUGAGGUCUUGGAUGCAGCCUUGAAAAUGGAUGCAUGUGCCAAAAAGCAUCAAGGAAGAACAGGAUCCUUACUACUGAAUAAAGCAUUAAAUGAGCACUCCAUGUCCAAUUCUGGCAUCCACUCAUUUUAGCACAGAUGGCAACAAGAUUGUUGCAUUGUGAUGUCUUUGCAGUCUGUGUACAUACUGAGGCAGAAGUCAGAGCACUGGAAUGUGAAGGCAGAUGCAUUUGAAUCACAAAUAUGGUUACAUAAAAGUUCAUCAUUAAGGUCCUCCAUUCAAUAUGCUCUGGAGAGAAUUAUCACCCUGACUGGCUUGGGA
rnacentral:lncRNA from 12 species